AACGCUAGCUACAGGCUUAACACAUGCAAGUCGAGGGGCAUCAGGAAGAAAGCUUGCUUUCUUUGCUGGCGACCGGCGCACGGGUGAGUAACACGUAUCCAACCUGCCCCAUACUCGGGGAUAGCCUUUCGAAAGAAAGAUUAAUAUCCGAUAGCAUAUAUUUCCCGCAUGGGUUUUAUAUUAAAGAAAUUCGGUAUGAGAUGGGGAUGCGUUCCAUUAGUUUGUUGGGGGGGUAACGGCCCACCAAGACUACGAUGGAUAGGGGUUCUGAGAGGAAGGUCCCCCACAUUGGAACUGAGACACGGUCCAAACUCCUACGGGAGGCAGCAGUGAGGAAUAUUGGUCAAUGGACGCGAGUCUGAACCAGCCAAGUAGCGUGAAGGAUGACUGCCCUAUGGGUUGUAAACUUCUUUUAUAUGGGAAUAAAGUUGUCCACGUGUGGAUUUUUGUAUGUACCAUAUGAAUAAGGAUCGGCUAACUCCGUGCCAGCAGCCGCGGUAAUACGGAGGAUCCGAGCGUUAUCCGGAUUUAUUGGGUUUAAAGGGAGCGUAGGCGGAUUGUUAAGUCAGUUGUGAAAGUUUGCGGCUCAACCGUAAAAUUGCAGUUGAUACUGGCAGUCUUGAGUGCAGUAGAGGUGGGCGGAAUUCGUGGUGUAGCGGUGAAAUGCUUAGAUAUCACGAAGAACUCCGAUUG
rnacentral:rRNA from 1 species